rnacentral:rRNA from 1 species
CCUACGGGCGGCAGCAGUGAGGAAUAUUGGUCAAUGGGCGGAAGCCUGAACCAGCCACGUCGCGUGCAGGAUGACGGCCCUAUGGGUUGUAAACUGCUUUUAUACGGGAAUAACGCGCCUUACGUGUAGGGCUUUGCAUGUACCGUAUGAAUAAGGACCGGCGAAUUCCGUGCCAGCAGCCGCGGUAAUUCGGAAGGUCCGGGCGUUAUCCGGAUUUAUGGGGUUUAAAGGGAGCGUAGGCCGCACGUCAAGCGUGCUGUGAAAUGUCCGGGCUCAACCCGGGCCUUGCAGCGCGAACGGGCGUGCUUGGGGCAGCAGAAGGCAGGCGAAAUUCGUGGUGUAGCGGUGAAAGGCGUAGAUGUGA